rnacentral:rRNA from 1 species
GGCGCCUGGAUGUGGGUUUUACGCGGCAACGCAAACGAAAGCGGAGACGAGGGCGGGGGCCCUGGGUAGAGUUCUCUUUUCUUCUUAACGGCCUAGUGACCCUGGAAUCGGUUUGUCCGGAGAUAGGGUUCAACGGCCGGAAGAGCCCAGCACUUCUGUUGGGUCCGGUGCGCUCCUGACCUCCCUUGAAAAUCCGCUGGAGGGAAUAAUUCUCACGCCAGAUC